AAGACUAUACUUUACAGGAUCAUUUCUGUAGUAGCAUAGUUCUUCCUACUUUCCAAUUUUGGAGAGACCAACCCCACGAUGAUGAGGUUUGUUCUCUAUUCUGAGCGUGAGGCAGAUUCAGCAUGAGUCAUUCGAUUGAUGCUGAAUUAUCGAUGAUCGCACGCCCCUCGGGGUCGGGAUAGAGAGCGUUCUGAGUGGU
rnacentral:snoRNA from 1 species